AGCGAACGCUGGCGGCAGGCUUAACACAUGCAAGUCGAACGCAUCCUUCGGGGUGAGUGGCAGACGGGUGAGUAACACGUGGGAACGUACCCUUCGAUCUGGGAUAACUUCGGGAAACUGGAGCUAAUACCGGAUCCGCCCUUGUGGGGAAAGGUUUACUGUCGAAGGAUCGGCCCGCGUCUGAUUAGCUAGUUGGUGGGGUAACGGCCUACCAAGGCGACGAUCAGUAGCUGGUCUGAGAGGAUGAUCAGCCACACUGGGACUGAGACACGGCCCAGACUCCUACGGGAGGCAGCAGUGGGGAAUAUUGGACAAUGGGCGCAAGCCUGAUCCAGCCAUGCCGCGUGAGUGAUGAAGGCCUUAGGGUUGUAAAGCUCUUUUGUCCGGGACGAUAAUGACGGUACCGGAAGAAUAAGCCCCGGCUAACUUCGUG
rnacentral:rRNA from 1 species